rnacentral:rRNA from 1 species
UCAGAUUGAACGCUGGCGGCAUGCUUUACACAUGCAAGUCGAACGGUAACAGGGAGCUUGCUCCGCUGACGAGUGGCGAACGGGUGAGUAAUAUAUCGGAACGUACCCAAGAGUGGGGGAUAACGUAGCGAAAGUUACGCUAAUACCGCAUACGAUCUAAGGAUGAAGGCAGGGGAUCUUCGGACCUUGUGCUCCUGGAGCGGCCGAUAUCUGAUUAGCUAGUUGGUGAGGUAAAGGCUCACCAAGGCGACGAUCAGUAGCUGGUCUGAGAGGACGACCAGCCACACUGGAACUGAGACACGGUCCAGACUCCUACGGGAGGCAGCAGUGGGGAAUUUUGGACAAUGGGCGCAAGCCUGAUCCAGCAAUGCCGCGUGAGUGAAGAAGGCCUUCGGGUUGUAAAGCUCUUUUGUCAGGGAAGAAACGGGAGUGCUAAUAUCCAUUCUUAAUGACGGUACCUGAAGAAUAAGCACCGGCUAACUACGUGCCAGCAGCCGCGGUAAUACGUAGGGUGCAAGCGUUAAUCGGAAUUACUGGGCGUAAAGCGUGCGCAGGCGGUUUUGUAAGUCUGUCGUGAAAUCCCCGGGCUCAACCUGGGAAUUGCGAUGGAGACUGCAAGGCCAGAAUCUGGCAGAGGGGGGUAGAAUUCCACGUGUAGCAGUGAAAUGCGUAGAGAUGUGGAGGAACACCGAUGGCGAAGGCAGCCCCCUGGGUCAAGAUUGACGCUCAUGCACGAAAGCGUGGGGAGCAAACAGGAUUAGAUACCCUGGUAGUCCACGCCCUAAACGAUGUCUACUAGUUGUCGGGUUUUAAUUAACUUGGUAACGCAGCUAACGCGUGAAGUAGACCGCCUGGGGAGUACGGUCGCAAGAUUAAAACUCAAAGGAAUUGACGGGGACCCGCACAAGCGGUGGAUGAUGUGGAUUAAUUCGAUGCAACGCGAAAAACCUUACCUACCCUUGACAUGUACGGAAGCCACGAGAGAUCGAGGUGUGCUCGAAAGAGAGCCGUAACACAGGUGCUGCAUGGCUGUCGUCAGCUCGUGUCGUGAGAUGUUGGGUUAAGUCCCGCAACGAGCGCAACCCUUGUCAUUAGUUACUACAUUUAGUUGAGCACUCUAAUGAGACUGCCGGGACAAACCGGAGGAAGGUGGGGAUGACGUCAAGUCCUCAUGGCCCUUAUGGGUAGGGCUUCACACGUCAUACAAUGGUACAUACAGAGGGCCGCCAACCCGCGAGGGGGAGCUAAUCCCAAAAGUGUAUCGUAGUCCGGAUCGCAGUCUGCAACUCGACUGCGUGAAGUUGGAAUCGCUAGUAAUCGCGGAUCAGCAUGUCGC